rnacentral:rRNA from 1 species
AGUGGCGGACGGGUGAGUAACGCGUGGGAACCUGCCCUGGAGUGGGGAACAACCUUUGGAAACGAAGGCUAAUACCGCAUACGCUCUACGGAGGAAAGGCCGGGAUCUUCGGACCGGUCACUAUUGGAGGAGCCUGCGUAGGAUUAGCUAGUUGGUGAGGUAAAGGCUCACCAAGGCGACGAUCCUUAGCUGGUCUGAGAGGAUGAUCCCCCACACUGGUACUGAGAUACGGACCAGACUUC